rnacentral:piRNA from 1 species
UCUUAUGUAAAUGAAUCGAGAGC